ACGGAGGAUGCGAGCGUUAUCCGGAUUUAUUGGGUUUAAAGGGUGCGUAGGCGGAUAGAUAAGUCAGUGGUGAAAACCUGCAGCUUAACUGUAGACUUGCCGUUGAUACUGUCAGUCUUGAGUAUGGUCAAGGGAGGCGGAAUAUGAAAUGUAGCGGUGAAAUGCGUAGAUAUUUGGCGGAACACCGACUGCGAAGGCAGCUUGCUGGGCCAUUACUGACGCUGAUGCGCGAAAGCGUGGGGAUCGAACGG
rnacentral:rRNA from 1 species